rnacentral:rRNA from 1 species
CACGUAGGGUGCGAGCGUUGUCCGGAAUUAUUGGGCGUAAAGAGCUCGUAGGCGGUGUGUCACGUCGGCCGUGAAAACCUGCAGCUUAACUGUGGGCGUGCGGUCGAUACGGGCAUCACUGGAGUUCGGCAGGGGAGACUGGAAUUCCUGGUGAUAGCGGUGAAAUGCGCAGAUAUCAGGAGGAACACCGGUGGCGAAGGCGGGUCUCUGGGCCGGAUACUGACGCUGGAGGAGCGAAAGCGUGGGAGCAAACAGG